GUCGGAAGGAUUCUGACAAGGAAUUACAAAGCACCAAGGUUUGGUCUCUUCAGGAAGAAGACAAGGUUGUUCACGAAGAAUAACCACGCAGGAUGCUAGGACAGCGUAAGGAUACAACAGUUGGCAGGAUGCGAGCUGCAUGGAUUGGCGAUGGACACCUUGUGGAUAAGGCAGGACAACAUCAGGAUGAUGUUAUGGACACCGCUCAAGGAACAAGUGAUGAGUAUUGACCGGAGUGUUAGUACCAUGGAAAGUUUGGACACCGCUAGGAUGGCGAUGCAGGAUGAGCCGAAGAAUUGGCCACUAUUAUGGAUGAUGCAUGGAGCACACAAUUUAGUAGCUGGACUGCUGCGAGUAAGACUUUAAGCCUCGACACAUGCGUGUUGAGGCUUUUCUU
rnacentral:other from 1 species